GACGAACGCUGGCGGCGUGCUUAACACAUGCAAGUCGAACGGAAAGGCCCUGCUUUUGUGGGGUGCUCGAGUGGCGAACGGGUGAGUAACACGUGAGUAACCUGCCCUUGACUUUGGGAUAACUUCAGGAAACUGGGGCUAAUACCGGAUAGGAGCUCCUGCUGCAUGGUGGGGGUUGGAAAGUUUCGGCGGUUGGGGAUGGACUCGCGGCUUAUCCGCUUGUUGGUGGGGUAGUGGCUUACCAAGGCUUUGACGGGUAGCCGGCCUGAGAGGGUGACCGGCCACAUUGGGACUGCGAUACGGCCCAGACUCCUACGGGAGGCAGCAGUGGGGAAUAUUGCACAAUGGGCGGAAGCCUGAUGCAGCAACGCCGCGUGCGGGAUGACGGCCUUCGGGUUGUAAACCGCUUUCGCCUGUGACGAAGCGUGAGUGACGGUAAUUGGUAAAGAAGCACCGGCUAACUACGUG
rnacentral:rRNA from 1 species